rnacentral:rRNA from 1 species
UCCGGGAAACCGGGGCUAAUACCGGAUAACAUUUUGAACCGCAGGGUUCGAAAUUGAAAGGCGGCUUCGGCUGUCACUUAUGGAUGGACCCGCGUCGCAAUAUCUAGUUGGUGAGGUAACGGCUCACCAAGGCGACGAUGCGUAACCAACCUGAGAGGGUGAUCGGCCACACUGGGACUGAGACACGGCCCAGACUCCUACGGGAGGCAUCAAUAGGGAAUCUUCCGCAGUGGACGAAAGUCUGACGGAGCAACGCCGCGUGAGUGAUGAAGGCUUUCGGGUCGUAAAACUCUGUUGUUAUGGAAGAACAAGUGCUAGUUGAAUAAUCUGGCACCUUGACGGUACCUAACCAGAAAGCCACGGCUAACUACGUGCCACCAACCGCGGUAAUACGUAUGUGGCAAGCGUUAUCCGGAAUUAUUGGGCGUAAAGCGCGCGCAUGUGGUUUCUUAAGUCUGAUGUGAAAGCCCACGGCUCAACCGUGGAGGGUCAUUGGAAACUGGGAGACUUGAGUGCAAAAGAGGAAAGUGGAAUUCCAUGUGUAGCGGUGAAAUGCGUAGAGAUAUGGAGGAACACCAGUGGCGAAGGCGACUUUCUGGUCUGUAACUGACACUGAGGCGCGAAAGCGUGGGGAGCAAACAGGAUUACAUACCCUGGUAGUCCACGCCGUACACGAUGAGUGCUAAGUGUUAGAGGGUUUCCGCCCUUUAGUGCUGAUGUUAAC